GUGCUCGAUUCGGCAGCACAUAUACUAAAAUUGGAACAACACAAAGAUUAGCAUGGCCCGUGCGCAAGGAUGACACGCAAAUUCACAAAGCGUGCCAUAUUUUA